CCUACGGUUGCAACAGUGGGGGAUAUUGCACAAUGGGGGGAACCCUGAUGCAGCGACACCGCGGUGGUGAAGAAGCGCCUCGGCGCGUAAAGCCCUGUCAUCAGGGAAGAAAAAGACGGUCACGGACGCAGAAGCGCAGGCAAACUACGGGCCAGCAGCGGCGGGAAUCCGGAGGGGGCAAGCGGUAACCGGGUUUACUGGGUGUCAAGGGGGAGCAGUAGGGGAUGCAGGCAGGGGCGUUAAGCACGGGGCCCAACCGCGGGAGUGCGCUGGGAACUGCGGGGCUUGAGUGCGGGAGGGGCAGGCGGAAUUCGUGGUGUAGCGGUGAAAUGCGUAGAUAUCAGGAGGAACACCUGUGGCGAAGGCGGCCUGCUGGACUGCCACUGACGUUGCUGCCCGCAAGCGUGGGGAGCAAACAGGAUUAGAUACCCGUGUAGUC
rnacentral:rRNA from 1 species